GUCUUGGUCUCCUUUUAAUUCUUUCUCUUCUCUCUCUCUUACUUAGGGUCAGGUAUGGGGUUGCACUCUGCGUCAUGCGCGUGUAAGGGUGUCCACAGGAGGCCAGGAGGUAGGGAUGAGCCAUGGGGUUGGGUGGUGCUCAUUUGCUGCCUGACUGCCUUCGCCCAGGGAAGCUUCUUGUGGCCCCUUGUCCUGAGGGUUGCAUGUGCUUCAUCUUGGACUCCUUAUUUUUAAAUGAGUUUCAGGAAUCCCAUGAGCUCAGCAGAAAUGUAAUACAGGGGGCCCCAGACUGGCGUCACUCCGUGCUGAGGGCCUUGGCUUUGGAAGGGGCUGCUGUCCUUGGGAACUAUUGUCCCAGGCUAACUGAAUGGGGCAGGAAAGGAAGGAGAAAACAAAGGUCCAUACAAGUGUUUAAAAAUAAGAAUAUCAGCACUAAAAAGACAGAGCUUCCUUUUUCAUCCUGGAAAUAUCCUGAGGUCAGUGUUGGGAACAGGGAGGUUUAAAUCAAAAAGUGAUACAAUAUCCAUAAAGUGAUAAAAUAUCCAUCUUAUCCCUCAAUAGAUACAAUACAGUACUUUGCCUGUGAACUUCCACUUGGAUCCUCAUUGUAUUGCCCUUUGGCCAUUGGGAGGGCAGAGAUUCCAAGUGGAGACCUCCACCCCUCAGGCUGCAGUAAGUUCAAGAAGGAGGGGUGGACAGUCCCUCCUUAAUGCUCAGCUAGAGUUGAGCCAGGGAAGGCAGUCGAGAAGGGUGGGUGGGUGAGUGUCUGUGGUUUUCCCUGCCUGCAGCUGGCUUAUCCCCUGAGUGGUCAUUCUCACUGACUCUGCAUUUCAGUUUUCCUUUUAUUUUAAGUGCAAGACAUAUGGUUACAAGUCAUGCAUAUGCGUGCUGGUUCAUCCUGAUUCUGGAAGGUGGACAUUAUCACAAGUCUGGAGUUCCUCUCCUUGGGACAGAUGGGAUAUGGAGUAAAGAAUGAGGUGUCUAGCAUCCAGAUUUUGUUUCCUUGCUGAGGCUGGGAGAAAUGGUAUUUCUUUAGUCUUUGGAACUCCCCGUUAAGAUCUUCCUCCCCUCCAACUGCUCUGUAGAGACUGUUGGUUGGUUCUGUGUUUCUCUAGCAGUCUUUAGGGAAGUGAAUCAGGAUUUCUCUGUCCCUUACUCAUAACCAAGUGUUUGGUUUAUGGCAUAAAACCCAGAUCAUCUCAACUAAGUCACGUAGGACUGCUUCAAAGCCACCUUAUUAGGACUGGUGCAUUUCACAAUAAAUUCUCCAAGGAUGGGGUCUAAGACUCCUCUAGGCAGUCUGGGCUUGUCCUCCUUUCUCCAAAGACCAUUUUUACUUUUCUCAAAUAGGAGAAACAGAAAACUGAAAGAAACAAAAGUGACCCCGAAGCUUGGCAGUCCAGGCAGAGUCAUAAAUAAGUGUUGAAGGAAAUAGACGCUGAAAGUUUGGCAGUCCUUUAUGUAUUGUUUAUUUCACUG